rnacentral:lncRNA from 1 species
CGCUCGGGGGCGGGUUGGGGGCUCGGGGCCCGCGGGGCGGGGCGGGGCGGGGCGGUCUUGUCUGUCCUGGGCUCUGCGCGUCCAGCGGAGCCUGCGGGCCCGGCCCCAGAGCCUGGUCCACCCGGCUCCCUGCGAAAAUCACGUCCUGGAGCCGCAGCUUGACGUCUGCGCGAAAACUCGCAGUGCCCCGGGUCUUGGAGGGCUGGUUUUUUGUUAAUGAACAUUUUAAGAGGCGGAGACGGAGCGCUAGGCUGGAAGUUUCGAAUGCAACGACCAGCAGAUGACCUUGAGCGACUCUGAGCCUUUGCCUGGAGGGUCAGUGUCCCCAUCUGUGAAAAGGGGAUGGGAAGACAAGGUUGGGUCACCUAAUCUCCAAAUGCCAGGUGGGCCCGAAAAGCCUGGCUCCAGCCCUCCCGGAACAGGCUGCAGGCCCCAGGGUUCCCACCGUCCUUCUCCUUGUGGGGCCAUCAGCUCCCAGCCUCAGUGCCACCUCGGCGAGGCUGAAGCCCCGUCUGUGCCUCUAGUCCUGACCAUCUGGGGAGGCCCUCGCAUCUCCAACCGUCCACUGAGCAAACUUCCCUGGAAGCCCCUAGACACCCCAAACGCCACAAACCCUAAAUGAAGCCAGCUGCUUCCAGUGACUCUUAGUCACUGGAAGUUCUGCUUCUCAGAACCGCCCCCGUUGUCUUCAUCAUCACCUUCCUCUGUCUCCACACAUCCUCCCCAGUCUGUUGCACAAAGCCCCGACGACCUGGCCUCCUUUUCAUCCUUGUACCCCCUCUUCCCAGCCCGGCCCCUCCCUUAGGCCCAGAGCUUCCUAAAGACCUCCUCGCCUCCCCGUCCUCCACGGGACAUUGGCCAGCGCUGGCUCCCGGAGGCCCAGCUGCACUCACUCCCCUUUCAGAGUGGGCCGCAGGAACACAGGUCCCCCACCUCACCCCCCUACCCCUACCCCCCACCACCCCCCCACCCCGCUUCGACCGGAGCCCCCACCAGCCGGGACCCACCUGCACGGCAGCCUUGCGGCCUCCACACUCCGGCUCCUGCAAACAACGCGGCUGACCCGCAGCACCUCUGCUCCCGGCCUCCACCCCGGAGAGCCUGCCCCUUCUCUGCCCCUGCCACCCACAGCCAUCCCUGACCCCAGGUCCAGAACAAUCUCUCUCCUUUCUCUUCCUGCACCGGCCACUUCCCGCCCUCAUCACGUUUGACCUUUUUUAUCUUCUCUGUAUUCUUUGUGAGUGUAAGCGCCUGGAGGACAGAGCCCAUGCCUCACCCACCUUUGCCCUUCCCAUGGAUCUAGCAGUGGUGGCAACCGCCAGAGGUGUGUGCAUUUCCUGUAAGGAUCGGUCCUUUCAGUGGGGAAUUGUGAGAAUGACAUUCGACGAUGAGCUGGGAAACAGGAACCCCAAACCCGUGUGCUUCCUGCGCCGAGCCGUGUGCCUCCGCCUGGUGUGCGCCGUGGGUUCGUCCUUCGCUCCAGACUGCGUUCAAUGCAACAGAUACGGGUGGCACAAGCAUGUGGCCCCACCAUCAUCUCUCCCCUUUGCAUGAUAAAGAGACCGACCAGCAAUGCAGGGGCCGUGGGGAAGAUCCCACACAGCCCCUACACGUCACAGAUAAAAGUCCUUAGAGACAGAAAGGGGAGCAGAACCAGGAUUCAAACCCCAGUCUCCAAAGCAAAGCCCUGAGUUCAUUUCAUUACAGCAAAGAUGCACUGUGCAUUCCAAGCAAUAAAUGGUGUCAAGUCCAUUUAGGGCGGUAUAAUGUCGGAAUAAAAAAUAUAUAUUCGCGGGCCAGGCACGGUGGCUCACACCUGUAAUCCCAACACUUUGGGAGGCCAAGGCAGGUGGAUCAUGAGGUCAGGAGUUCAAGACCAGCCUAGUCAAUAUGGUGAAACCCCAUCUCUACUAAAAACUACAAAAAAUUAGCUGGGCAUGGUGGCACACACCUGUAGUCCCAGCUACUCAGGAGGCUGAGGCAGGAGGAUCACUUGAACCCGGGAGGUGGAGGUUACAGUGAACCGAGAUCGCACCACUGCACUCCAGCCUGGGUGACAGAGCGAGAUUCAGUCUCAAAAAAAAAAAUACAUAUAUAUAUAUAUAUAUAUAUAUAUAUAUAUUCUUUUUGAUGGGCCUUAAUCAUUUGCAUAUGAUCCUAUGACUGAUGUUGGUUGCAAAGAAAACUUGUAAUUUGCAUUAAACACAUCAAUUGCAAACUCAGAUUUUGAGCUGAUGGUUCCUUUCAGCAGGUCUUUGGGCACCUACACAUUACACGUGUGAGUGUGGGCUCUCGGUCUUAGACUGCCA